UCCCUAACCAAUGCACUUGAUGGA
rnacentral:siRNA from 1 species